ACCUGCAUGUUCUGCUUCCUUGUCAAAAGAGAAUAAAAUGUCUUUUAGCAUAUGGGGGAAGCUAACGUUCUUUGUUUUCUCAUUUCAGUAAAAAGUCCCAAAAGUGGGAUGAAAUGAACAUCCUAGCUACAUACCAUCCAGCAGGCAAGGACUAUGGUUUAAUGAAAAUAGAUGAACCAAGCACUCCCUACCAUAGUAUGGUUGGAGAGGAUGAUGAAGAUGCAGUGAGCGAUUCAGAAUCGAAUGAACCCGUAACAGCAGAUGUGUUAGCUAAAAAGUUAGUGGCAGCUGAAGGUAAAGGACCCAAGAUUCUAGCUCAAGAAGAAGAGUGCAGGGAGGAGGAGGAAGAGGAAGAGGAUGAAGAGUUAACGCCUGAAGAACGAGAAAAAAAGAAACAGUUUGAAAUGAAGAGAAAAAUGCACUACAACGAAGGACGAAAUAUCAAAUUGGCUAGGCAGCUAAUUGCAAAAGAACUACAUGGUGAGGAGGAAGAUGAGGAUGAGGAUGAUGACGAAGAUCAAGAGAUGCACGAUGCUGUAGAUGUAGAAAACAUGAAUACAGAAACCCCUGAACCUGGGGAAAGGAGGACACGAAUAGGCAUCUUUAUGGCCUUUCUCCGUGGCUUGAAGCUGCCAUCUUCUUUCUGCUCCCUGCUAUAAAGCAGGGAGGCAGCUCCGCUCCCCAGCUGCGCUCUCCAGGGGAAAGAAGGGCACGCCUAUGCAGCAUUUUUCCAUCUCUGCUGUUUGACAUCACUCCAUCCUGCUUCAUAAUCUGAUUUCUGAGCUGCAUCUGCACAUGCUACUAGUGACCAGCUGGAGAAUAGAGCGCACAUCAUAGAAGAAAUCUGUCCAGAACUGUAACUGCUUGUCAAAGCUACAAACUUGUACAGUGCUUCAUGGUUUUGCGAAUCUUAAGUAUUGAGAGGCAUAUCAGUUAUAGUGUUGUAUUGCCAAGAAUGUUAACUUUACAGACUCUUAUAUUAGGCAGAAAAGCUGCCUAACUGGUUAUUCUUGUGCCUAGUAUUUCAUGGAGAGUACUGCUUCAUAAUCCAUCAAACCAGAAAUUUGAGACAAAUUAACUUGCAUAGCAUAUUGUCACUCCACAUGCUUUAAAACAUACAAAAAAUCAGUAUCUUUGGUUUUGUUGAUUAUUUAUUUGACACUGUUCUAGAUGUGGUAUCUCUUGUAGUAGAAGGGUUUUGGAAUUCAAGAGCCAAACAGUACAGUAAAUUACAGGUUGAUAUGUAUUAGGUGAAUUUAGCAGUUAAAAAGGGAUUAUUUUAGUAGUGUAACUUUUUGUAGAAUUUUUCUGACCUGUUAAUCUAGAUGUCAGUAUGUCAUGACUCCUAUUUUCUCAAUCUUUAUAAGAGAAGAGCUGAAUUAUUUUUGUGGUUUAAAAAGAAAUCUGUUUGGAAUAGGUUACUAGUUCCUGAUUAAGACAACACUAACAACUAGUGGGAUAUUUGUACACUAGAGAUGUGCAGACAUUGAUUUUGCAUCUAAUUGUGAUGAUCUCUUCCCUUGGGGAUAGAUGGGUUUUGGAACUUUCCUUAUUUAUCUGUUCCGAUCUCAAAACUUCUCUCCAAUAUUUUCCACUUCAGGCCCCCCAAACGUCACUCUCUACUGAUUCCCUUAAGAUCUGCCUUAGAAUCCUUUGCACCUUCUGACUUGCUGUGACAUGAAUUUAUGCUGCUAGCAUCUGAGGAUAAGUAGUUGUGCGAGCAAAUCUACUUCAGUACUAUGGAGAUGGAAUGGCGUAGCUUUGUAUCGUGCCAGCCUUCCACUGCACCUAGGUAAUGCUGAUGACCUCAUUCCUUCUUGGGACUUGUGAUCUGUAUAUUGAAAACCACUGGUCUAGAAAUUUCCCGAUCCAGUGUAACUUGCAGCAGCUGCUCUUGUAAGCUGAAGGCUGUUUGGAAGGACAGAAGGGAGGUUGUCAUAUAAUGUCUAAUUUACGUGCUGUUAGCAGUGUGGUUCUAUAGCCCGGAUGGAGAGAGAGUUCUGAACCUGCGGUUUACUGUAAACAAAAACAUCCCCCUCAAAAGAUCUUGACUAUGGUGUGGAUGUACUAGUAUUCAGAGUAGCACUUGGUUUUAUUCCGCAAAUGAAGUACACUUAAAGCUGUGGGUUGGUCUUGGAAUAUUUUGUAUUCAAUUAUGUCUGUAUUUCUCUUAAAUUUGAACUAAAUUUGAUACGUUCCAAAAGUCCAUAAUUAUACGGACCUAUUUUAAAAUGACUUCCUGUCCACUGUAUUUGUGAAGUCUGAAUAAAAGAAUGAAAAAGUGACUUUACAAUUAUUUUGAACUCACGUGUGAGCUUUUCUGAAACACUAGAAUGCCAUAUUUAUCACUGGAAAAAUAUAAUCACGUGGAAUGUUUCAGUAGACUGAAUCUUCUGCCAAAAGUGUGCAGGUGAGCUAUACCAAAUUAGUGUGUGGAUUCCUAAGUCUCUGGUUAAUGGUCUGUUUUGUAGAUAGCUAUGUUGCCAGCUCUUGUAAUAUUUAGUAUUUCUUAGCCCCAGCUCCUGGAUUUGUGUGAUUAGUGAGAAUUUCAAGUUUCAUUAUUGAUUAAUAAAAAAAAAUUCUAGCCCUUAUGGUUGCGGAGUAAAAAUUUGAAAACGUGAAUCCUAAAGGCUCAAUCAUGAAAAGGCAAACAAAAACCUCAUAAUCUGGUUUGAUUUCUGGCUAAAAUUGUCUUUUCCAUUAAUUGGAAGUAAGGAGAGAUUGACUGAUGCAUCUGUUUUUGCUUGAUUAUAUGAAAAAUAGUUGCUUUAUUUGCUACUGUUUUUCCAGUCAGUCUUUUUUCUUUUUUUUAAAAGAUCGUGUUAUAAUUGCAAGAAUAUUGAUUGAAUCUUGAUUCUGGUCACUUUUGGCUAAAUCCUGAGAGAUGCUGGGGCUCCCAUGAGAGGUGAGGUAAUUAGUGGGAGCUGACAUCCAUUAGCUUGAUUAACUUCAGGAGCUGAAGGGUACAUAGCACUCUAGGAUUAGAACUGCUCCAGUUCUCUUGACAGAUGGGAAUUUUUAGCAUCCGUUUAUAUUAGAAAGCACUAACUGUUAGACACCUGUGUCCAUGAAGGAUGGCGUUCCCUUCCUUCCCCUUUCCUCUCCUCCCACUGCCAAAACAAGAGCCAGGAUGCGUCUGUUCUUUGCUGUGUUUGUCUUCCUAAAUGUGGCAGUUUAUAUUGUUGGUUUGCUAGAUUUACAGGGCUGCUCUGUGGAUGGGUUGACAUUACUUACGAACACAUUGUCCAGGUACAAGAAAGGAGCUUAAACAGCUGCUGAAUGGUGUUGACUCACUCCAUAGCAGUGAAGCUACAGUUUCAAUGUUGCAUGUGCUGUCUAUCAUUCAGUAUCAAACAUGGCAGUUUCUAUAGACUAGUUUGGGCCAAAAAGUGAGCCGUUUAAGCCACUUGUUCUCUUUUGUCGUCUCUUCACCCCCCCCCCCCACCCCCUUUCCAUUCUUGCUUGUACAGAAUUGCAUUUACAGUUAAUGCCCCAAGGAGGUGCUGCUGUUAGCAUCCUCAGUCCUACCCGGGAAGGAUUUUAUUUAUAUACACACAUUGUUUUCUUUUCAGUAAACAAAGGUAGAUCCUAAAAAGAAUCUGUUUUCCAUGACAAGCCAUAAAACACCAGGUACGGGUGGGCUGUGCCAGCUUGGCGGAGGGGUUAUCUUGAAUUGCUGAUGCACCCCUAGCUUUCAUUAACUUCGAGCAACUUGUUGUUUUGGGUUCAUAGGCCCUUUGAUGACUAAGGGCUCUUCAAAAACAAGCUAUGCAUGAUCUCCCUGAUAUCUCAAUUAGAGAUAAAUUAAGUACAACUGAAAUACAAAUCUAUCUUUUUCUUAAGUGGGUUUUUAUUUGUAAAGAAAAUAUAAUAUAGAGGGUCAUCUUUAAAACUUGCCAUCACUAUAUAAAUGUGUGUAUAUUUUCUGUUUUAUUGCUGGUGGUUGGUUCAUUUCAUUUGCUUUAGGCACAACUUGAUGUUUCUUAAAAGUAGUUUCAAUCUGGAACUGGGAUUACUUGGCUUUAUUCGCACCACUAUCUCAAGACAUUUUAAAGGCUAAAAUUAAGUAAAUUUGUUUAAAAACUUGUAAUUAUUACAAUGCAGUAUAUAUAGUUUUUAAAAAAAACUGUACAAGGUACCUGCCAUUUGUUGUAAAUCUGCCAUAUUGAAAAAUAGCCCACCUUUUGAGAGGUGGGGAAAAGGAGAGGAAAAGGAAAAAAGUCUCCUUGGCUUAUCUAAUAGGAAGCAGAUAGUAAGAUUGCUUAUGGACUUGUAAUAUCAUGGUGGUUGUUGGGUGCUGAGUACUGCAAUGUGGUGUAUAAAAGCAGAGACAGAAUGUUACGACUAUUUAUUUAGAAACUGGAGAAUAGCGGUCCUAAGAAACUGUUCUGCAACACUUUGCAUGAUAAGUAUUUUCUACAUUUAUUUUUUAAACCUUUUGUUUGUAAAAUGAAUACAAGAUGUCAGUUGCUGGAGAAAUAAGUUUCUGUAAAUAAACUUUAUACUAGACUCUU